rnacentral:rRNA from 1 species
CGAAGGGCGUAGCGUUGCUCGGAAUCACUGGGCGUAAAGGGCGCGUAGGCGGCCAUUCAAGUCGGGGUGAAAGCCUGUGGCUCAACCACAGAAUUGCCUUCGAUACUGUUUGGCUUGAGUUUGGUAGAGGUUGGUGGAACUGCGAGUGUAGAGGUGAAAUUCGUAGAUAUUCGCAAGAACACCAGUGGCGAAGGCGGCCAACUGGACCAAUACUGACGCUGAGGCGCGAAAAGCGUGGGAGCAAACAGGAUU